AACUUUCAACAACGAUCUCUUGGUUCUGAUCGAUGAAGAACGCAGCGAAAUGCGAUACGUAAUGUGAAUUGCAGAAUUCAGUGAAUCAUCGAAUCUUUGAACGCACAUGGUCACGCAUUCUGGCGGCAUGCCUGUUCGAGCGUCAUUUC
rnacentral:rRNA from 1 species